CACACGCGCUUGACUUGGUUCCCGGUUUUGACUGGAAUGGACAGGCCAACCGUUUUUUGUCAGAGUUGAAUUUUCGUACCAGGUUAAGAAAAUUUCCGGAGCGGGUUAAGAUAAUUAACGUGGCAGGUUAGGUGAAUUAGGUUAGGUUAGGUUAGGACAGCGGUUAGCUGAAAUGCAAAAAAAAUAAAAGCUGUACUCUUUCCAGCCAUGACGGUGUUUCCCCCGACGAUGGAUAUGAAAACGUUUGAAUCGCGUGUGGCAACCAACUCAAUCAAAAAUAUUAAGAUGUAACCGUACCCAAAAUACAAUUCAAGGCGAUACAUUCCAUGCCACUGAAGAUGCUUGAUAUCUCAGAGCAAGCAAAAGCCUCUAUGUCAUUCAACUGUUGACAUUGACAAUGCAACAUACCCUAUACAGUCGGCCUAUAUCCUAUAUGUUAUAACUAUGAGAUAUGCAAUCUGAAAUUAAUGAUGAUGUGUGUGUAUGAAACAUGGUUGCAAUGUCAACAGUUUGAAGAUCAUCAAGGUAGGUGGACAAAUAUUUGAUAGCAGUGUAGUUUACAGGUGUGGAUAGCUCUUCUGGGAUAAACUAGAAACAAUGACAGUGGUGCAAGUUUCACAUUCAUCCCUUUGAAUUAGGUUUUCCUUUAUCUUGAGUUAAUCAGACACACACACAUAGAUAAUUAAUAAUGAGUAAGCCUAUCUAGGAUUGGCCUAAAUAUAUAAUUGAUAUUAAAGGCCAACAUCUCAAAGGCAACCAUUGCUGGUCAAGAUUGAGUAGGCCUAAUGGAAAUCUAAACAACAUCCUCUGCCUGGGCCCCGGUGGCUUUAGUGAUGUUGCCUUGUCCCCUCUCCCUCCCUCGUUUCAGUUGUCACUGCCUCUUUGUGUGCACUUCCUCGCGCAGACCAUAGAAGAGGAUUGAUUGCACAAAUGAGAGCUCAGCAGGGCCCUCGCACAGGUGUCAGGUAACCGCACAGGUAAAAUGAGCCGACCUGGGAAGAAGACUGCAAAAUGAAGAUGGAAUGUAAGACCUAACCUGACCUAUAAACCAGUUGGAGAGAGAGAGAGCAGUUGAUUUGAAUGGAAAAUAACAAUAGGCCUCAUGAUGGGCCACAUAAAGGCAGAUGACAGGUCACCGUUACAUGCUAAGUUAACAUUUAAUAUUACACUUUGAAUACACCGGCAGCAGUAUCUGUCUCAGAUAUUGCAAUAAGUUUCAUCACUCUUACAAAUCCAUUGUCAUAUGUAUGUAAACCUAGGAUAAAGUGAUGCUUUCUGAGAUAUAUAAUACUGCUCUAAUUAUUAUUCUGUGAUGGAGAUGAUCCAGGCUGUAUCACAACCGGCCGUGAUUGGGAGUCCCAUAGGGCCGCACAUAAUUGGCCCAGCAUCGUCCGGGUUUGGCUGGUGUAGGCCGUCAUUGUAAAUAAGAGUUUAGUCUUAACUGACUUGCCUAGUUAAAUAAAGUUUUUUUUUUUUAAAUGUGGUGCCCCUGGCCUGAAAAUUAUGAAAUUGAAAGAGCAUGUAGUGCAGGCCUACACAUAAAGGAGUUCUAGCGCCCCCUUGUGUCCAGCAGGAUACAUUUGCUCACAUUGUAUAUAGAUUUAUUUUUCUACUGUAUUAUUGACUGUAUGUUUGUUUAUCUCCAUGUGUAACUCUGUCUUGUUAUAUGUGUCGAACUGCUUUGCUUUAUCUUGGCCAGGUCGCAGUUGUAAAUGAGAACUUGUUCUCAACUUGCC
ensembl:lncRNA